rnacentral:rRNA from 1 species
GUGUCAGCAGCCGCGGUAAGACAGAGGUGGCGAGCGUUGUUCGGAUUUAUUGGGCGUAAAGCGAACGCAGGUGGUUUGGUAAGUCAGAGGUGAAAGUCCACAGCUUAACUGUGGCACUGCCUUUGAUACUGCCUUUCUUGAGUGCAUGAGGGGGAAGCGGAAUUCCGAGUGUAGAGGUGAAAUUCGUAGAUAUUCGGAGGAACACCGGUGGCGAAGGCGGCUUCCUGGCAUGUAACUGACACUCAUGUUCGAAAGCGUGGGGAGCAAACAGGAUUAGAUACCCUGGUAGUCC